AGCGAACGCUGGCGGCAGGCCUAACACAUGCAAGUCGAACGAAGUCUUCGGACUUAGUGGCGGACGGGUGAGUAACACGUGGGAACGUGCCUUUAGGUUUGGAAUAACUCAGGGAAACUUGUGCUAAUACCGAAUGUGCCCUUCGGGGGAAAGAUUUAUCGCCUUUAGAGCGGCCCGCGUCUGAUUAGCUAGUUGGUGAGGUAAAGGCUCACCAAGGCUACGAUCAGUAGCUGGUCUGAGAGGAUGACCAGCCACAUUGGGACUGAGACACGGCCCAAACUCCUACGGGAGGCAGCAGUGGGGAAUCUUGCGCAAUGGGCGAAAGCCUGACGCAGCCAUGCCGCGUGGAUGAUGAAGGUCUUAGGAUUGUAAAUCCUUUCACCGGUGAAGAUAAUGACUGUAGCCGGAGAAGAAGCCCCGGCUAACUUCGUGCCAGCCGCCGCCGUAAGAC
rnacentral:rRNA from 1 species